UACGAAGGGGGCUAGCGUUGCUCGGAAUCACUGGGCGUAAGGCGCGCGUAGGCGGUUUGCUAAGUCAGGGGUGAAAUCCUGGAGCUCAACUCCAGAACUGCCUUUGAUACUGGCGACCUUGAGUCCGGGAGAGGUGAGUGGAACUGCGAGUGUAGAGGUGAAAUUCGUAGAUAUUCGCAAGAACACCAGUGGCGAAGGCGGCUCACUGGCCCGGUACUGACGCUGAGGUGCGAAAGCGUGGGGAGCAAACAGG
rnacentral:rRNA from 1 species